CUUGAACGCUGGCGGCAGGUCUAACACAGGCCCGUCACGCGUGUGAGGUUAUCUUGCUCCUUGGUUCAGCACCGGACGUGUCUGUGAUGCCUAGGAUGCUCCCUAGUAGUGAGGGGUGACUGCCGCAAACGGCCGCUACUACCGCAUACGUCCUGUGGGAGAAAGUGUGGGAUCUUCUGACCUCACGCUAUCAGAUGAGCCUAGGUCGGAUUAGCUAGUUGGGGGGGUAAAGGCCUACCAAGGCGACGAUCCGUACCUUGUCUGAGAGGAUGAUCAGUCACACUGGAACUGAGACACGGUCCAGACUCCUACGGGAGGCAGCAGUGGGGAAUAUGGGACAAUGGGCGAAAGCCUGAUCCAGCCCUGCCGCGUGUGUGCAGCAGGUGUUCGGAUUGUAAAGCACUUUAAGUUGGGAGGCAGGGCAGUAAGUUAAUACCUUGCUGUUUUGACGUUACCAACAGAAUAAGCAACGGCUAACUUCGUG
rnacentral:rRNA from 1 species